rnacentral:misc_RNA from 1 species
GAGUUACCAUCCAGAUGUGAACAAGUAAGUUUAGUUUUUAUAUGAGCAUGAUCAUCCCCCUUCCUCCCCUCUGCUGUCCUUGUUUCCUUUAUCUUGUGUUAUCUUUGUUGUCUGAUAAAUUGUGGAGUGUGUAUGCUUAGUUUCUCUAAUUAGCUGUGGGGUAGAUUUAGAUGGUCAUUCUUUUCGUUCUUUUGGAGGCACUGAUCUCGGGUUUAGUUGCAUAUGAUGUGUACUAGCCUAUGGAAGAUAGUAUGCUUGGACUGGCUGUCUCUGAGCUUCCCCUCUUUCCCUCUUCUGACAUUUUUCCCUUUCCUUCUUCGCAACAUGUGGCCUAAACUAUUCUCAGCUUUUGGUCCUUUAUGUUUACAUAAUGAGAACUUAGAUUAGUCAAUAGCAAAUGUGCAAAGACUGGGAUUUGAUUGGAGCAGGACCUGGAGUAAUAUCAUUGGAGUGAAUAAAGAAUUGUAAGAAACAUCUAACUAAUGAUAUAUUUGACUGGCUAAUUAGUGCUAAAUUUAAGAAAUGUCGAAAGUACAAAGUGUCAUAACUCAUAACUGUUCAUGAUGUUUUUGAAGAUAGCUCAAAGGCACUUAAGUUGAUUGUCAUCUUCAGUUCAAAUUCCCAAGAGUAUGCAGGAAGCUAUAGCUUUAAUGCAUAACCUUUUCAAUGAGAAUCUACAUUAUACAAGUGGGUCCUGCCUGCCCCUAAGUUUGCUGACUGAGAACAGUGGUAUGCUACUUACCGACUAGGUUAAUACAAGAAUUGGCCAUCGCACUGUUACAUAUAGGAGAAGAAGAUAUAGAAAUAAGGAUAAUAAUGGGCAUAUGGGCACGUGAGUAGUUGUUUAAGAGGGAAAGUUUGUUAGUUGUCGAGAAUCUGUUGAAGUAGUUAAUUGUAAUUGGAGGGAAAUUGUAAGUAGUUGUAAUUAUUGGAGGAGGUUAGAGUAGUUAUAGGAAUUGGAGAGAAAGUUGUAAGUAGUUUCAGUUGUUGAAGGAGGUUAGAGCAGUUAUAGGAAUUGGAGGGAAAUGUGUAUAAAAAGAAUUUAGUUUACUUGUAAUUAGCAUUCUGAAUUCUGGAUGAAUAAUACUACUUUUCUUCUCUCUUCUUCUUGAUCUUUCUAUCUUCUUUCUCUUUUCUUCUCUACUCCAUCUAUCUUUCUAUCUUCUUCUUCUACCUUCUGUUAGGGUUUCUACCUAAUAUUAGGUAACAGUGAUCUAAAUCUUAAAAUUCAUUAAUUAUUUGAGAUUGACUUUCUGUAUAAGCAUCAAUAGCAAAAUCACUCAACUUACUUUCUGUAUAAGCAUGAGUAGGAAAAUCACUCAACUUUUGCUACAUCAUGUCUUUUGGCCUCCCCCCACCCCUUUUCAUUUACCUAUGAAUGAACAAACAAUAAGAGGUAAAGAUCAACCUUUCCACAACCCUCCCAAGCCCUCACUUAACAAGCAUCUUUGCUAAACAUAAACUACAAAGAAUUCCAAAGUCCUCUUUCAAUUAGAUUACUUUAUCAAAACAAAUUUCUCAAAUAUUACAUCUCUUACAAGCAAUCAUACUGUUCAAGUCAUUUGUGUCAUUUUCUAAACAUCAAAUAAAUCAUUAAAAGGGUCAUGCUUGUCUUAUUGGUUACUUUUGAGAAACCUAGAUCAUAGAUAACUGAGAUUCAACUCUAGUUUAGUUCUUGCUAACACCAACUUAUCUCCAUAAAACAUUAAACUAAUUCUAAGGAUCAACAUCAAGAUUAUGCAAUUGCAUUCUAUAGCCAAAUAAAAGAAAAAGGAAAGCCAGAAAGCAAUUAAUAGCAAAUUAUGGGCUAGAUAUUCCAUAAUAAACUAAAAACCCAGAAAUAAACAUACCCUGAAGG